rnacentral:rRNA from 1 species
UACGGAGGGUGCGAGCGUUGUUCGGAGUUACUGGGCGUAAAGGGUGCGUAGGCGGCUUUUUAAGUUUGGUGUGAAAUCUCCCGGCUUAACUGGGAGGGUGCGCUAUAGACUGUGGGGCUAGAGUGUGGGAGAGGAAAGUGGAAUUCCUGGUGUAGCGGUGAAAUGCGUAGAUAUCAAGUGGAACACCAGUGGCGAAGGCGAGUCUCUGGACAUUUCCUGACGCUGAGGCACGAAAGCCAGGGGAGCAAACGGG